AGUGAACGCUGGCGGCAGGCCUAACACAUGCAAGUCGGACGGCAGCACAAGAGAGCUUGCUCUCUGGGUGGCGAGUGGCGGACGGGUGAGGAAUGCAUCGGAAUCUGCCCAUUUGUGGGGGAUAACCUCGGGAAACCGGGACUAAUACCGCAUACGACCUACGGGUGAAAGCAGGGGAUCUUCGGUCCUUGCGCAGAUGGAUGAGCCGAUGCCGGAUUAGCUAGUUGGAGGGGUAAAGGCCCACCAAGGCGACGAUCCGUAGCUGGUCUGAGAGGAUGAUCAGCCACACGGGGAGUGAGACACGGCCCAGACACCUGCGGGAGGAAGCAGUGGAGAAUAUUGGACAAUGGGCGCGAGGCUGAUCCAGGCAAGCCGCGUGUGGGAAGAAGGCCUUCGGGUUGUAGAGCACUUUUGUUGGGAAAGAAAAACAGCCGGUUAAUACCCGGUUGUCAUGACGGUACCCAAAGAAUAAGCACCGGCUAACUUCGUG
rnacentral:rRNA from 1 species